CCGACAAUCCAACAAGUCCCUCAUAAAGGCAGUUGUGGAGUGCUAGACAGAGCACUUGAACUAACACCGUGGGAUCUGCACCGCAUUCCUAGCUAGCCUGCUCUCCGCUCUAAGGGCUAUUACAGUGCCUCGUGGACCAGCUAUCUUCUCUGCGUUGGGUGCUGCAGUACAGCUGUAUCUCCACUGACCCAGCACAGCCGUGACAUGACCACCCAGGUGUACAAACGUGAGGCAGAAUAGGAGAUGAAGACCGUAAGAUCAGUACCAAACUUCAUCCCAGGAAAAUAAUCUAAAUACCGACUACCUCUCAUUCUCUCAAAGCUGAACACACAGAAAACACAGAAUCCUUCACUCUGCUUUCAGGAGAUCCGUGUUUCUGCAACAUGUCUGGGCUGGCGUGAUGCAUCUUUCAAUGCACUUUGUUUCCCCGAUGCGUUGUUUUUCCUGUUGUGCCAU